rnacentral:lncRNA from 1 species
GCCCGAUUUAUGGUCACUAUAACACUAAGAAAUUGGUAUAUAAGGAAGCAAGUCGUUAAAACAUUAAUAGAGUAUUUCUUGAUUUUUCUAGGUGAGUCUCUUGGUUUAGGAAAUAAUUAAGAUUAAAAAUUAUUUUACUUUGAUUGAUUGAUUGAUUGUUGGUUGCUUAACAUCCAGUGGCAAAUAUUUCAUGCAUAUUCAGGACGAGAACAAGUUCACAAUAAAUACAAUAGGUAGGUUGUUGUAA